UACGAAGGGGGCUAGCGUUGCUCGGAAUGACUGGGCGUAAAGGGCGCGUAGGCGGCUCAUACAGUCAGAUGUGAAAUUCCUGGGCUUAACCUGGGGGGCUGCAUUUGAUACGUGUGGGCUUGAGUGGGGAAGAGGGUCGUGGAAUUCCCAGUGUAGAGGUGAAAUUCGUAGAUAUUGGGGAAGAACACCUGCGGCGAAGGCGGGUUGCUGGGCUGACACUGACGCUGAGGCGCGAAAGCUAGGGGGAGCGAACGGGG
rnacentral:rRNA from 1 species